GGGACAGAGCGCACGAGCGCCAUGACGCAAGUUCCGGGACGGGGGUUGGGCGUGUGGAAGUAUAGGCGGCACCUGCCAAGGGUUUAGUGACCAGUGACUGGGGCUUGCCCGGUAGUUAGUAUUAGCACCGAACGUUUGGCUCUGGAAACUUGCUAGAGAAGGGACCAGACUCCUAACACAAUACUUGUACAUCGUACUCAAGAAGUAUAGUAUUUGAUGAAUGGAUAUAAGAAGAUAAGAGCCUGUACUAGAAUGAUACCAUUGACAACAGGAAGGAAAGUGUGAAUAAUAAAGCUCUUGAUGAACUCAUAGUGGGUAGUUAUGAUACAGCUACCAGACGGAUUCAAGAAAUAUUUUUGUGGGUUCCACGCCUAGCACAGAGUGCAAUGCAGGGCUGAAGCUCACAACCAUGGGAUCAAGACCUGAGCAGAGAUCAAGAGUCAGAGGCUCAACUGACAGAGCUACUCAGGUGCCCCUGAUUUCUUUUUUUAGAUCUCCCUUUGUGACAUGCUUAUUAUAUUUUGAUAAAUAAUUUAAAAUUUUAGUCUGAGAUUAUUGUUACAUUUUGUUUGUUUGUUUGUGUGUGUCUUUUUAAGAUGCACCUCAAGUGGUGCACAGAAAUAGAUCACUAAUAUCUGGUUCUUGACAUUUUCACUGUUGGUCCAUGCAAAGCCUGCAUUUGUUUUUUACUUUGUUUAAUACUGAUUAAGCAUCCAUGAAGUUGCUAUCCAAUUCAACCCCAGAAUCUUGAUAUUAUGUCUGUCUCUUCUCAUUCCUUGCCUACCUGAAUUUGGGACCUCGGUUAUUCCUUUAUUUUCUGCCCAUUUCCCCUUUGCUUUACAUGGCUUUAUUUU